rnacentral:rRNA from 1 species
AACGAACGCUGGCGGCAUGCCUAACACAUGCAAGUCGAACGAGACCUUCGGGUCUAGUGGCGCACGGGUGCGUAACGCGUGGGAACCUGCCUUUAGGUUCGGAAUAACUCAGAGGAAUUUGAGCUAAUACCGGAUGAUGUCUUCGGACCAAAGAUUUAUCGCCUUUAGAUGGGCCCGCGUUGGAUUAGCUAGUUGGUGGGGUAAAGGCCUACCAAGGCGACGAUCCAUGGCUGGUCUGAGAGGAUGAUCAGCCACACUGGGACUGAGACACGGCCCAGACUCCUACGGGAGGCAGCAGUGGGGAAUAUUGGACAAUGGGCGAAAGCCUGAUCCAGCAAUGCCGCGUGAGUGAUGAAGGCCUUAGGGUUGUAAAGCUCUUUUACCCGAGAUGAUAAUGACAGUAUCGGGAGAAUAAGCUCCGGCUAACUCCGUG